CCUACGGGAGGCAGCAGUGAGGAAUAUUGGUCAAUGGACGAGAGUCUGAACCAGCCAAGUAGCGUGAAGGAUGACUGCCCUAUGGGUUGUAAACUUCUUUUAUAUGGAAAUAAAAUGUUCCACGUGUGGGAUUUUGUAUGUACCAUAUGAAUAAGGAUCGGCUAACUCCGUGCCAGCAGCCGCGGUAAUACGGAGGAUCCGAGCGUUAUCCGGAUUUAUUGGGUUUAAAGGGAGCGUAGGUGGAUUGUUAAGUCAGUUGUGAAAGUUUGCGGCUCAACCGUAAAAUUGCAGUUGAAACUGGCAGUCUUGAGUACAGUAGAGGUGGGCGGAAUUCGUGGUGUAGCGGUGAAAUGCUUAGAUAUCACGAAGAACUCCGAUUGCGAAGGCAGUUCACUGGACUGCAACUGACACUGAGGCUCGAAAGUGUGGGUAUCAAACAGGAUUAGAUACCCGUGUAGUC
rnacentral:rRNA from 1 species